UACGUAGGCAGCAAGCGUUGUUCGGAGUUACUGGGCGUAAAGAGUGCGUAGGCGGUGUCGAAAGUUUGGCGUGAAAUCUCCCGCUUAACUGGGAGGGUGCGCCGAAAACUGCGAUGCUGGAGUGUGGGAAAGGCAAGCGGAAUUCCUGGUGUAGCGGUGAAAUGCGUAGAUAUCAGGAGGAACACCGGCGGUGUAGACGGCUUGCUAGACCAUAACUGACGCUGAGGCACGAAAGCGUGGGUAGCAAACAGG
rnacentral:rRNA from 1 species